rnacentral:rRNA from 1 species
UACGGAGGGUGCAAGCGUUAUCCGGAUUCACUGGGUUUAAAGGGUGCGUAGGUGGACAGGUAAGUCAGUGGUGAAAUCCCCGAGCUUAACUCGGGAACUGCCGUUGAUACUAUCUGUCUUGAAUAUCGCGGAGGUAAGCGGAAUAUGUCAUGUAGCGGUGAAAUGCUUAGAUAUGACAUAGAACACCGAUUGCGAAGGCAGCUUACUACACGAUCAUUGACACUGAGGCACGGAAGCGUGGGGAGCAAACAGG